GUCUACGGCCAUGCCACCCUGAACGUGCCUGAUCCCAUCUGAUCUUGGAAGCUAAGCAGGGUUGGGCCAGGUUAGUACUUGGAUGGGGGACCACCUAGGAAGACCAGGUGCUGUAGGCA
rnacentral:rRNA from 1 species